rnacentral:rRNA from 1 species
UACGGGGGGGGCAAGCGUUGUUCGGAAUUACUGGGCGUAAAGGGUUCGUAGGUGGCCUGCUAAGUCAAACGUGAAAUCCCUCAGCUUAACCGGGGAACUGCGUCCGAUACUGGUUGGCUUGAGUUUGGGAGAGGGAUGCGGAAUUCCAGGUGUAGCGGUGAAAUGCGUAGAUAUCUGGAGGAACACCGGUGGCGAAGGCGACAUCCUGGACCGGUAUUGACGCUGAGGCGCGAAAGCCAGGGGAGCAAACGGG